UACGAAGGGGCUAGCGUUGCUCGGAAUCACUGGGCGUAAAGGGUGCGUAGGCGGGUCUUUAAGUCAGGGGUGAAAUCCUGGAGCUCAACUCCAGAACUGCCUUUGAUACUGAAGAUCUUGAGUUCGGGAGAGGUGAGUGGAACUGCGAGUGUAGAGGUGAAAUUCGUAGAUAUUCGCAAGAACACCAGUGGCGAAGGCGGACUCACUGGCCCGA
rnacentral:rRNA from 1 species